rnacentral:lncRNA from 10 species
GCUCGUCGGUGUGGGGUUCGAGGCGGUUGAGUGAGACGAGACGCGCCCCUCCCACGCGGGGAAGGGCGCCCGCCUGGUCCGGCGAGCGCACGUCCGGUGCUCCCCUCUGGCGGGUGCGCACGGGCCCUGUGAGCGAUCGCGGUGGGCUUGGGCUGGUGACGCGUGCGCCGGCCGGCCGCCGAGGGGCUACCGUUCUGCCUCCGACCGGUCGUGUGUGGGUUUACUCGGAGAAAUACUAGGCUUUAGAAUUUCACCAUAUGAAUUUUGGGAGAGAGGAGCACAGUUCAGCCCAUAACUAACACACGUGAUGAAGAAGACAUGCCAACAGAGGGUUAAUUCCAGAUAAAAUGAAAUGUUCCAAACAGUACGUUUGGUUAUUUGAUUCAUCUGUGGGGGAAGGAAAGAUAAUUUUCCAAAGGACAUUCCUCCUAAAUUCUGUCUUAAAGUUGUUUACGGAAUGAAGUUGAUAAUAGUGAGACCUUGUUGGUACAAGACUAUGUAACAUAACCUGCGCUUCUCAACAAAGAAUUGCUUUUCUGACUUCUGCACUCAAUAGCAAGACAAAUCUCUCCUCUGCCUUCUCCUUAUCAGACUACUCAACAUGAAGGCAAUAAGAAUGAAGACCUCUAUGUAUAAUAAUUGACUUCCACUUAAUAAAUAAGGUUACUUGGUACACUGGUCGACAAAACCUUGAAAUGUUGAUGUUUAAGGGCUGUUGAUUGCUGGCAGCAAAGAAGUCCAACUGUGCUGGUACCCGAGAUAGCGUCUCCACAUUUUCUUCCAGGAUCAUCACCUUUGUUCUAAAUAGCUCCCACAUAGUGUGAACAGAAGUCAUAUGUUUUAGAUUUUCUGCCUUGGCACCCAGG